ensembl:snoRNA
AGUGAGCUACCAGAUUUACAGCUUUCUUAAUAGUAGCUGUUUAAACAGGGGUACAAACAAGAAGAGGAACCUGUAGUCUUUGUGGAGGUUAUAGCUCUGCCUUUCAAAAUGAAUUUAGAAGUUUAUACCCCU